UACGUAGGGUGCGAGCGUUAAUCGGAAUUACUGGGCGUAAAGCGUGCGCAGGCGGUUCGUUGUGUCUGUGGUGAAAGCCCCGGGCUUAACCUGGGAAUGGCCAUGGAAACUGGCGAGCUGGAGUGUGGCAGAGGGGGGUGGAAUUCCGCGUGUAGCAGUGAAAUGCGUAGGGAUGCGGAGGAACACCGAUGGCGAAGGCAGCCCCCUGGGCUAACACUGACGCUCAGGCACGAAAGCGUGGGGAGCAAACAGG
rnacentral:rRNA from 1 species